rnacentral:rRNA from 1 species
UACGGAGGGUGCAAGCGUUGCUCGGAAUUAUUGGGCGUAAAGGGUAGGUAGGUGGUCUCAUUUGUCUGAGGUGAAAGCCUUGAGCUUAACUCAAGAAGUGCCUCAGAAACGGUGAGACUGGAGUCCCGGAGAGGGUCGUGGAAUUCCCGGUGUAGCGGUGAAAUGCGUAGAGAUCGGGAGGAACACCAGAGGCGAAAGCGGCGACCUGGACGGGCACUGACACUCAACUACGAAAGCGUGGGGAGCAAACAGG